AUUGAACGCUGGCGGCAGGCCUAACACAUGCAAGUCGAACGGUAACAGGAAGAAGCUUGCUUCUUUGCUGACGAGUGGCGGACGGGUGAGUAAUGUCUGGGAAACUGCCUGAUGGAGGGGGAUAACUACUGGAAACGGUAGCUAAUACCGCAUAACGUCGCAAGCCCAAAGAGGGGGAGCAUCUGGCCUCUUGCCAUCGGAUGUGCCCAGCUGGGAUUAGCUAGUAGGGGGGGUAACGGCUCACCUGGGCGACGAUCCCUAGCUGGUCUGAGAGGAUGACCAGCCACACGGGAACUGGGCCACGGUCCAGGCUCCUACGGGAGGCAGCAGUGGGGAAUAUUGCACAAUGGGCGCAAGCCUGAUGCAGCCAUGCCGAGUGUAUGAAGAAGGCCUUCGGGUUGUAAAGUACUUUCAGCGGGGAGGAAGGGAGUAAGGUUAAUACCUUUGCUCAUUGACGUUACCCGCAGAAGAAGCACCGGCUAACUCCGUG
rnacentral:rRNA from 1 species